rnacentral:rRNA from 1 species
UACGUAGGGCGCAAGCGUUAUCCGGAAUUAUUGGGCGUAAAGAGCUCGUAGGCGGUUUGUCGCGUCUGCCGUGAAAGUCCGGGGCUCAACUCCGGAUCUGCGGUGGGUACGGGCAGACUAGAGUGAUGUAGGGGAGACUGGAAUUCCUGGUGUAGCGGUUAAAUGCGCAGAUAUCAGGAGGAACACCGAUGGCGAAGGCAGGUCUCUGGGCAUUAACUGACGCUGAGGAGCGAAAGCGUGGGGAGCGAACAGG